rnacentral:rRNA from 1 species
GAUGAACGCUGGCGGCGUGCCUAAUACAUGCAAGUCGAGCGAACAGACGAGGAGCUUGCUCCUCUGACGUUAGCGGCGGACGGGUGAGUAACACGUGGAUAACCUACCUAUAAGACUGGGAUAACUUCGGGAAACCGGAGCUAAUACCGGAUAAUAUAUUGAACCGCAUGGUUCAAUAGUGAAAGACGGUUUUGCUGUCACUUAUAGAUGGAUCCGCGCCGCAUUAGCUAGUUGGUAAGGUAACGGCUUACCAAGGCAACGAUGCGUAGCCGACCUGAGAGGGUGAUCGGCCACACUGGAACUGAGACACGGUCCAGACUCCUACGGGAGGCAGCAGUAGGGAAUCUUCCGCAAUGGGCGAAAGCCUGACGGAGCAACGCCGCGUGAGUGAUGAAGGUCUUCGGAUUGUAAAACUCUGUUAUUAGGGAAGAACAAAUGUGUAAGUAACUAUGCACGUCUGGACGGUACCUAAGCAGAAAGCCACGGCUAACUACGU